rnacentral:misc_RNA from 1 species
GGAAGUAAAAGUCAUAACAAGGUUUCCGUAGGUGAACCUGCGGAAGGAUCAUUCAUAAUAAGUGUUUUACUGCACUUUUUAAAAAUAGUACUCACCUUGUGUGCAAUGUUGUGUUUCUUUUCGGAGAAACACCUACACCAACCUAUAACCUUGAACCACUUUGUCUGAAAAACUAUUAUGAAUACUUAAUUCAAAAUACAACUUUCAACAACGGAUCUCUUGGCUCUC